rnacentral:lncRNA from 1 species
CUGGAAUUUCAAAUAGCUUUCUAAAAAAUGUGCAGGACGGCCAGGGUACAAUGGUUGUUAAAAAGAAUUUGGUUGUUAGUGGAGUGGGGGAAACACAACAAGAUUACAGAUAUACAAGCAACGAACUUUGCUACUCUAGGAAAAUUGGCAGCUCAAAUUACACAAUUCUCUAUGAUAAAGUUAAAGAUACAUGCAACAAAAGAAGUCACUCUCGUUUUGGUAAUUUUAUCAAAAAGUUUCCCAUUAUGCUCUAGAGUGAGUCCCUUUCUAGCUUCAAUCAUGGAGAUUAUUUCUGCAGUGGCUGUGUCAAGUUCUUUUCAUUUCACGUUACAUAUGGAAACACACAACUCUUUCGAAUUGCCUUCUCUCUAUUGUUGUUGUUUUGUGUGGUUUCUUUGUAUGUGUGUUAUGAUUUGAAGUUUAUUGUGUUUAUUUGUUUGCGUUUGAACUUAAUGAACAUUGUGGAAUAUGAAUGUCUGUUUUUAGUAUUAAUCCAAUGAUGAGAUUUCUGUUUUCUAGAAUAUGAAUUUAUGUUAAUUGUGAGAAAGUAUGGAAUUGACACCACUUAAUCUUGACCAGCUUGUUCUUGUAGUAAUUCAAUUGCUUUUCCAUUGCCAACUAUUAGUAUAAAGAUGAUGAUGAGGAAUUUUACACCCCAUGAAUCUGAUGAAUCCUAUUAGUGAUAAGUAUAAAUUUUUUAUGUGCUGUUUAUAUAAGCUUCUAGCCGUUUUAGUUUUCAUAAACUAGCUGCAAUAAGCACAGAGUUAGUUCACUUGCUGAAAAUAUUUGAGUGGCCAAUGAUUUAGAAUAGUGCAGCACCUAUCUAGUGUUGUCUUUAUUUUGGUUACUAAAUCUGGUUUCAAUAGUUAUAAGAUGCCUUACAUGUGACACGAGUGGUAGACCACUUUACGCAGUCUGUGAAUUAUGCCUUUCAUGUAAAGUUUGAUAUGAGUGAUAGAAAGUAAUGUUCCGUUCUAAUGAAAUUCGGGUUUAAUUCAAAGUACUUACUAUUAUUGAAAGCUGCUAUAGUACAUUCUGUUUAAUUUCAUAUCUCAGUAUUUUUCUUCUGCAAUGUUGGGAAGUUAGCAGUGACCUUUGAAAGACAUUUACAUCAUUGAGAUGUCUUGCUGAAAAGUACAUGUACUGAUAAUAAAGAUCAAAGAUUCUUUAUUUUUAUCAUCAUUAUUUCCUGACUGUUAUUAUAGUUUUAAUUAGUUUCUUUCAAAAUUAAUUCCUCUUCAAUUUUGUUUUCACUUGGUGUCUACCUAGAUGUUUACCCUGCUGUUGUCAAAUUAGAGCUUGUGAGUUCCUCCUAUCCAACUCAUUUUGUUUUCUACUAGAAUUUUGAAAUGCUGGUGGAAGAUUAACUCUCUUCGAAUGCCGGUUAGUAUCAAAUGAAUACGGCACUUGCAAUUGGGUGUUGGCAGCAGUACAGUAGACAAGGUUUAGUCUCAGUUGUGAUAACAAUAGACAGACUUGGGAAGUGUUUUGUUGGUUGAGAACAUGUAGUAUAAUUUGAAGUGGACUCAAUCAAGGACAAUGUGGUCAUAAACACAGUUAAAAUGAAACUCACAUAUAUCCUUAAAUUUUUUUAUCUGAAUAUGAAUUUUCAUUCUCAUCCUUAAGCCUCAUAAACACAUUUACGAAUCUGAUUUUUUUCCUUAUCAUCUUCAUCUGAAAAUUGGCUUCAAUAUAAUCUCCAUGAUUUGGAUAUCUUGAAAGAGUGUAGAUUUGCGGUUGAUUUCAAACUACUAGUUUUGGUCGAGUUGAGAGAUCUUCUCCAUUUUUUAUUUUUUUUUGAAGAAGGAGAUCUUCUCCAUUUAAAGAGAGAUAACCUCAUAAAAUAAAAUAAUAUUUUUCAAAUAUGCUACUAACAUUUCUCUCUUCCCUCUAUAUAUGCUGCUAACAUUUCCCUAUAGGAAAACAAACAAACACAGCUGUAACAAAAUUUACCUAUAAGGGUGAAUGAAUAUCUAAAAGACUGAAACAAUACAUUUUUUUAGGGUAGAUUUAAACUGUCACGCUAACAAAUUCCCUAGUAAGUCAAAACUAAUUUUUUUUACUAUAUUGGAAAAUAUUGGAAACAACAAGAACAAUUGAGGUGACAGUGUUUGUCUUCACUUGUACUACGUUUUCACUUGUUUAGAUUGCAUAGUUUUCUUCUCAAAUCUUAUAAAUGGACAACACUUUCUUAACCUUGUUGUUGUUCUUGUUCUUCUUUUGCUUUCUGCACCACCCCGUUUCUGCAUCAAAUCUACACAAAAUCAAGCAACUAAACUCAAAUCAUCUUUCUCAACUCACAUCAUCUUCACCAAUCAAAUAUUUUGAGGUAACAAAACCAAUUAAACUCCCAAAAGCAUCAAAACCAUGUUCAUACCACAUUCUUCAUCAUGAUUUUGGUUACACAUAUGGAAAUCCCCCAGUUCUUGCUAACUACACCCCUCCCUCUCAUUGCUCAUUUAAAAAAUUCUCCAAAAUUGUUCUUGAAUGGAAAGCAACAUGCGAGGGAAGACAAUAUGAUCGAAUUUUCGGUGUUUGGCUUGGUGGAGUUGAGUUACUCAGAAGCUGUACUGCAGAACCAAUAGCAAAUGGGAUUGUUUGGAGUGUUGAAAAAGACAUCACAAGGUAUAAAUCUUUGUUGUUGAAUCAUCAACAAAAUCAAACCUUAGCUGUUCUUUUAAGGAACAUUGUUGAUAAAACUUAUACUGGUGUUUAUCAUGUUGAUAUCACUAUUCACUUUCACGGUUACCCUUUUGAUGUUAAGAAGACUCAUAAGACAAAAAAGUUUGAUUCUUUAGCAUUUAGGAGUGGUUUUCAUGCAGAUUUGAUCUUGCCCAUUUCAAGGAAUCUCCCAAAAAAUGAUGUGUUGUGGUUUGAAAUUCAAAAUUCAACUGAUGUGGGUGUAAAGGAAUUUGUGGUUCCUCAAAAUGCUUAUAGGGCUGUGUUAGAAGUGUAUGUUUCAUUUCAUGAGAAUGAUGAGUCUUGGUAUAGUAAUCCUCCAAAUGAAUAUCUUGUUGCAAAUAACAUUACUGAUAGUAACCCUGGAAAUGGACCCUUUAGAGAGGUUGUAGUUACUCUGGAUGACAAGGUUGUUGGUUCAGUUUGGCCUUUUACUGUGAUUUUCACCGGAGGGGUUAAUCCUCUCUUGUGGAGACCGAUCACUGCGAUCGGCUCAUUUGAUCUUCCGUCUUAUGAUAUUGAAAUUACACCUAUUUUGGGGACAAUAUUGGAUGGAAAGAAGCAUUUGUUUGGGUUUAGUGUGACAAAUGCAUUGAAUGUUUGGUAUAUUGAUGCAAAUUUACAUCUUUGGUUGGAUACAAAGAGCAGUAGAACAGAAGGAGAGCUCGUGAAUCAUGUUGACAAACCUUUGGUUGAAUCUCUAGUAACCGACUUUAAUGGUUUAAACGGAACGUUCUUGACUAGUGCAAAGAAGUCCAUUUUGUCUACUGGAUGGGUUAGAUCCUCCUUUGGUAAUAUCACAACCAGUUUUGUUCAAGAUUUUGAUUACUACAAUUCAAUGGUUAUGAGGAAGAAUGGGAGCAAACAAACUGUGAAUCAAAUUAUAUCUUUCAACGACAGUAUUCGGGCUAAACUUCCAUCCUCCUAUCUAGAUUUGGUCGAUGACACAUACAGAAAAUUUUCCCUUUACUUGGACACAGAUGAACUAAAGGAGGAUAAUGACACUUAUUUAGCUGUUUCAAAUUUUACAUUAGGAUUUGAUGAGAAUAAGUCUAAGAGCAAGGUUUCCGGAAUUUCAAAUAGCUUUCUAAAAAAUGUGCAGGACGGCCAGGGUACAAUGGUUGUUAAAAAGAAUUUGGUUGUUAGUGGAGUGGGUGCAACACAACAAAAUUACAGAUAUAAAAGCAAUGAACAUUGCUACUCUAGGAAAAUUGGCAGCUCAAAUUAUACAAUUCUCUAUGAUAAAGUCAAAGAUACAUGCAACAAAAG